rnacentral:rRNA from 1 species
UACGAAGGGGGCUAGCGUUGCUCGGAAUCACUGGGCGUAAAGGGUGCGUAGGCGGGUCUUUUAAGUCAGGGGUGAAAUCCUGGAGCUCAACUCCAGAACUGCCUUUGAUACUGAGGAUCUUGAGUUCGGGAGAUGGUGAGUGGAACUGCGAGUGUAGAGGUGAAAUUCGUAGAUAUUCGCAAGAACACCAGUGGCGAAGGCGGCUCACUGGCCCGAGUACUGACGCUGAGGCACGAAAGCGUGGGGAAGCAAACAGGG